GCCAGCAGCCAUAUCACUCUGCAACUCACAACUGGCAACUGGCAACAACUGUCAGCCCACUGAAGCUCAGCAGGUGUGAGCCUGGUCAGUACCUGGAGGGGAGACCUCCUGGGAAAGCUAAGGUUGCUGCUGGAA
rnacentral:rRNA from 1 species